rnacentral:misc_RNA from 1 species
GAUCAUUAACGAGUUAGGGUCUUCUCAGGCCCGACCUCCCAACCCUUUGUUUACCCGACCCAUGUUGCUUCGGCGGGCCCGCCGUUUCGACGGCCGCCGGAGGACCGCCUAUUCAGGUCCUCUGGCCCGCGCCCGCCGGUAGCCAAUUCUACCAAACUCUUGAAUCAAAUCGUGUCCAAUGUCUGAGUAUAUUACAAAAUAAAAGCAAAACUUUCAACAACGGAUCUCUUGGUUCUGGCAUCGAUGAAGAACGCAGCGAAAUGCGAUAAGUAAUGCGAAUUGCAGAAUUCCAGUGAGUCAUCGAAUCUUUGAACGCACAUUGCGCCCUUUGGUAUUCCGAAGGGCAUGCCUGUUCGAGCGUCAUUAUCACCCCUCAAGCCCCCCGGCUUGGUGUUGGACGGUCUGGUCGAGCGUUUCCGCGCGACCCCUCCCAAAGACAAUGACGGCGGCCUGGUUGGACCCCCGGUACACGGAGCUUCUUCACUGAGCACGUAUCGGUUUCAAGGUGUCCCCGGGACCCGGUCGACCUCUCUUGCUCCCCUGCGGGAGUGGGAGAGAACCCC